CUCGUAGGCGGUCUGUCGCGUCGAAUGUGAAAACCCGGGGCUCAACUCCGGGCUUGCAUUCGAUACGGGCAGGCUAGAGUUCGGUAGGGGAGUCUGGAAUUCCUGGUGUAGCGGUGAAAUGCGCAGAUAUCAGGAGGAACACCGGUGGCGAAGGCGGGACUCUGGGCCGAUACUGACGCUGAGGAGCGAAAGCGUGGGGAGCGAACA
rnacentral:rRNA from 1 species